rnacentral:tRNA from 1 species
GGUUGUAGCUCAGUGGUAGAGUGCUUGCCUCGUACGUGUGAGGCCCCGGGUUCGAUCCUCAGCACCA